GCCCGGCUGGCUCAACCGGUAGAGCAUGCGACUUCUAUUGAAGUCCCAAUCGCAAGGUUGUGGGUUCGAGUCCCACGUCGGGUG